UCGCCUAAAUCUAUCCCCUCCAAAAUAAAUGCACUUCAAUCAUGGCGCACGGUACCAACUAUACCGAAACAAAUCGCUCCCGGGAAAUGUUCCAGCUAGGAGGAUCAUGCCUAGUCAUGGGAUGCUAUAAAAGCCAAUGUUGGAGAAGGUUUCGGCCUCUUUUGGGAACAGAAAUCAGCCUUGUGCCGUGUUACCGUACUGAAGUGAACCGUUGCCCGAGAGUUGUUCCCGAUCGCUUUGUGCCGCUAAUCCAAACGACGGGAACGAGACAACCUUGUGUGUAAAGCCUAAGGGCCUACACCGACGCGAAGUGAUACACACCGUUACAUCGUGUACCCGUGUCUGCCCGAAGCCAUCCUGGGCCACCUCAAGUACGUCGACCAGCAUCAGACGAGAGAACGAACGUCCCAGAGGUCGAGAAGUGUUCCUGGCCGAAAAUCAUUGGUCGCCGCCACCAGGUGAUGUAAAGUGCAAACCUUUCAAUCCUUAACCCUUCUCAUUCCUCCAUGUAAAUAUUAAAAUAAAUCUAACCAGUGAAUUAAAUUA